rnacentral:rRNA from 1 species
UGGCUCAGGAUGAACGCUGGCGGCGUGCUUAACACAUGCAAGUCGAACGGGAUCCCUGGCAGCUUGCUGCCGGGGUGAGAGUGGCGAACGGGUGAGUAAUGCGUGACCGACCUGCCCCAUGCACCGGAAUAGCUCCUGGAAACGGGUGGUAAUGCCGGAUGUUCCACAUGAGCGCAUGCGAGUGUGGGAAAGGCUUUUUGCGGCAUGGGAUGGGGUCGCGUCCUAUCAGCUUGUUGGUGGGGUAACGGCCUACCAAGGCGUUGACGGGUAGCCGGCCUGAGAGGGCGACCGGCCACAUUGGGACUGAGAUACGGCCCAGACUCCUACGGGAGGCAGCAGUGGGGAAUAUUGCACAAUGGGCGCAAGCCUGAUGCAGCGACGCCGCGUGCGGGAUGGAGGCCUUCGGGUUGUAAACCGCUUUUGUUCAAGGGCAAGGCACGGUCUUUGGCCGUGUUGAGUGGAUUGUUCGAAUAAGCACCGGCUAACUACGUGCCAGCAGCCGCGGUAAUACGUAGGGUGCAAGCGUUAUCCGGAUUUAUUGGGCGUAAAGGGCUCGUAGGCGGUUCGUCGCGUCCGGUGUGAAAGUCCAUCGCUUAACGGUGGAUCCGCGCCGGGUACGGGCGGGCUUGAGUGCGGUAGGGGAGACUGGAAUUCCCGGUGUAACGGUGGAAUGUGUAGAUAUCGGGAAGAACACCAAUGGCGAAGGCAGGUCUCUGGGCCGUUACUGACGCUGAGGAGCGAAAGCGUGGGGAGCGAACAGGAUUAGAUACCCUGGUAGUCCACGCCGUAAACGGUGGAUGCUGGAUGUGGGGCCCUUUUUCCGGGUCCUGUGUCGGAGCUAACGCGUUAAGCAUCCCGCCUGGGGAGUACGGCCGCAAGGCUAAAACUCAAAGAAAUUGACGGGGGCCCGCACAAGCGGCGGAGCAUGCGGAUUAAUUCGAUGCAACGCGAAGAACCUUACCUGGGCUUGACAUGUGCCGGACGCCCGCGGAGACGCGGGUUCCCUUCGGGGCCGGUUCACAGGUGGUGCAUGGUUGUCGU